GGAUAAUGUUUCAAUAUUGGAGAGUAAUGAUCCAGUGCUAUGUAUAUCUUUUCAAGGAGGCUUAGAAGAUUUUCUA
rnacentral:sRNA from 1 species